GAUGAAGAACGCAGCGAAAUGCGAUAAGUAAUGUGAAUUGCAGAAUUCUGUGAAUCAUCGAAUCUUUGAACGCACAUUGCGCCCCCUGGUAUUCCGGGGGGCAUGCCUGUUCGAGCGUCAUUUCACCACUCAAGCCUCGCUUGGUAUUGGGCAACGCGGUCCGCCGCGUGCCUCAAAUCGUCCGGCUGGGUCUUCUGUCCCCUAAGCGUUGUGGAAACUAUUCGCUAAAGGGUGUUCGGGAGGCUACGCCGUAAAACAACCCCAUUUCUAAGGUUGACCUCGGAUCAGGUAGGGAUACCCGCUGAACUUAAGCAUAUCAAUAAGCGGAGGA
rnacentral:misc_RNA from 1 species